rnacentral:misc_RNA from 1 species
GUGAAUCAUCGAAUCUUUGGACGCAAAUUGCACUCUCUGGUAUUCCGGAGAGUAUGCCUGUUUGAGGGUCAGUUUAAAUAAAAAUCGGUGUGUUUGCUGCCUUUCUUGGUGACGCACCGGAUUUGGGUCGUCUUGCCUUCGGUUAAGUGACCUAAAAUUUUUAUUGUUUUUUUCCAAAGUUUUUUAAUUGAUUUUAGUACGUUUUCGA